rnacentral:rRNA from 1 species
GACGAACCGUGCGAACGUUGUUCGGAUUCACUGGGCUUAAAGGGCGCGUAGGCGGCGGCUCAAGUCGGGGGUGAAAUCCUCUCGCUCAACGAGAGAAUUGCUUUCGAUACUGGGUCGCUGGAGGGGGAUAGGGGUGCGCGGAACUUCCGGUGGAGCGGUGAAAUGCGUAGAUAUCGGAAGGAACGCCGGUGGCGAAAGCGGCGCACUGGAUCCCUACUGACGCUGAGGCGCGAAAGCGUGGGGAGCAAAAGGG